rnacentral:rRNA from 1 species
AGUGAACGCUGGCGGUAGGCCUAACACAUGCAAGUCGAACGGCAGCACAGUAAGAGCUUGCUCUUACGGGUGGCGAGUGGCGGACGGGUGAGGAAUACAUCGGAAUCUACUUUUUCGUGGGGGAUAACGUAGGGAAACUUACGCUAAUACCGCAUACGACCUACGGGUGAAAGCAGGGGAUCUUCGGACCUUGCGCGAUUGAAUGAGCCGAUGUCGGAUUAGCUAGUUGGCGGGGUAAAGGCCCACCAAGGCGACGAUCCGUAGCUGGUCUGAGAGGAUGAGCAGCCACACUGGGAGUGAGACACGGUCCAGACUCCUACGGGAGGCAGCAGUGGGGAGUAUUGGACAGUGGGCGCAAGCCUGAUCCAGCCAUACCGCGUGGGUGAAGAAGGCCUUCGGGGUGUAAAGCCCUUUUGUGGGGAAAGAAAAGCAGCAGGUUAAUACCCCGCUGUUCUGACGGUACCCAAAGAAUAAGCACCGGCUAACUUCGUG